rnacentral:tRNA from 1 species
GCGGGAUUAAUUUAUCGGUAAAAUGCCACCCUUCCAAGGUGGAUAGACGGGUUCGAUUCCCGUAUCCCGCU